AGAGUUUGAUCAUGGCUCAGGAUGAACGCUAGCUACAGGCUUAACACGUGCAAGUCGAGGGGCAGCAUUGGGAUAGCUUGCUAUUCCAGAUGGCGACCGGCGCACGGGUGAGUAACGCGUAUCCAACCUUCCCCAUAGUAGGGCACAGCCCGGCGAAAGUCGGAUUAAUUCCCUAUGUUGUCCAGAGAGGACAUCUGACCUGGACGAAAGAUUCAUCGCUAUGGGAUGGGGAUGCGUCUGAUUAGGUUGCAGGCGGGGUAACGGCCCACCUGGCCGACGAUCAGUAGGGGUUCUGAGAGGAAGGUCCCCCACAUUGGAACUGAGACACGGUCCAAACUCCUACGGGAGGCAGCAGUGAGGAAUAUUGGUCAAUGGACGGAAGUCUGAACCAGCCAAGUAGCGUGCAGGAAGACGGCCCUAUGGGUUGUAAACUGCUUUUAUCAGGGGAUAAAGUGAGGUAUGUAUACCUUUUUGCAUGUACCUGAUGAAUAAGGACCGGCUAAUUCCGUGCCAGCAGCCGCGGUAAUACGGAAGGUCCGGGCGUUAUCCGGAUUUAUUGGGUUUAAAGGGAGCGCAGGCGGACAGUUAAGCGUGACGUGAAAUGCAGCGGCUCAACCGUAUGAAGUGCGUCGCGAACUGGCAGUCUUGAGUGAGUACGAUUGUANGGCAAUUCGUGGUGUAGCGGUGGAAAUGCUUAGAUAUCACGAAAGAACUCCGAUUGCGAAGGCNGCCUNCAAGUNCCUUUUACUGACGCUAAAGCUCGGAAGGUGCGGGUAUCGAACAGGGAUUAGAUACNCCUGGUAGUCCGCCACGGUAAACGAUGGAUGCCCGCUUGUUUGCGAUAUAGUGUGAGCCGGCCAAGGGAGAGCAUUGAGACAUCCCACCUGGGGAGUACGCCGGCAACGGGGAAGCUCGAAGGAAUUGGACGGGGGCCCCGCACGAGCGGAGGAGACAUGUGGUUUAAUUCGAUGAUACGCAAGGAACCUUACCCGGGCUUGAACUGCAGCAGAACGGAUUGAGAGGAUCAUGAGGUCCUUCGGGACUGCUGUGGAGGUGCCGCAUGGUUGUCGUCAGCUCGUACCGUGAGGUGUCGGCUUAAGUGCCAUAACGAGCGCAACCCCUCUCUUCAGUUGCCAUCACUUCGGGUGGGCACUCUGGAGACACUGCCACCGUAAGGUGUGAGGAAGGUGGGGAGACGUCAAAUCAGCACGGCCCUUACGUCCGGGGCUACACACGUGUUACAAUGAGUGGUACAGAGCGUCGGCCGCCGGCAACGUCGGUCCAAUCGUAAAAUCCAUCCUCAGUUCGGACGAGGGUCUGCAACCCCACCCCAGGAAGCGGGGAUUCGCUAGUAAUCGCGCAUCAGCCAUGGCCCGGUAAAUACGUUCCCUGGCCUGUACACACCGCCCGUCAAGCCAUGAAAGCCGAGGGCGCCUGAAGUCCUUGACCGCGAGGGUGGGCCUAGGGUGAAACCGGUGAUGGGGGCUAAGUCGUAACAAGGUAACCGUA
rnacentral:rRNA from 1 species